CAGUAGCCGCGGUAAAACGAAGGGUGCAAGCGCUAAUCGGAAUUACUGGGCGUAAAGCGCACGCAGGCGGCUUGUUAAGUCAGAUGUGAAAUCCCCGAGCUUAACUUGGGAACUGCAUUUGAAACUGGCAAGCUAGAGUCUUGUAGAGGGGGGUAGAAUUCCAGGUGUAGCGGUGAAAUGCGUAGAGAUCUGGAGGAAUACCGGUGGCGAAGGCGGCCCCCUGGACAAAGACUGACGCUCAGGUGCGAAAGCGUGGGGAGCAAACAGAAUUAGAUACCAGCGUAGUCCCUGUCUCUUAUAC
rnacentral:rRNA from 1 species